rnacentral:rRNA from 1 species
CCUACGGGUGGCAGCAGUGAGGAAUAUUGGUCAAUGGCCGGAAGGCUGAACCAGCCAUGCCGCGUGAAGGUCAGUGCCCUAUGGGCGUUAAACUUCUUUUGUGCGGGAGCAAUAAUGGUCACGUGUGGCCAGACGAGAGUACCGUACGAAUAAGCAUCGGCUAACUCCGGGCCAGCAGCCGCGGUAAUACGGGGGAUGCAAGCGUUAUCCGGAUUUAUUGGGGUUAAAGGGUGCGUAGGCUGUGAGGUAAGUCAGCGGUGAAAUGCCCCCGCUCAACGGGGUGAAGUGCCAUUGAUACUGCCUUGCUGGAAUGCGGAUGCCGUGGGAGGAAUGUGUGGUGUAGCGGUGAAAUGCAUAGAUAUCACACAGAACACCGAUUGCGAAGGCAUCUCACGAAUCCGCGAUUGACGCUGAUGCACGAAAGCGUGGGUAUCAAAUAGGAUUAGAUACCCCAGUAGUC